rnacentral:rRNA from 1 species
GACGAACGCUGGCGGCGUGCUUAACACAUGCAAGUCGAGCGGUAAGGCCCUUUCGGGGGUACACGAGCGGCGAACGGGUGAGUAACACGUGGGUGACCUGCCCUCAGCUCUGGGAUAAGCCUGGGAAACCGGGUCUAAUACCGGAUAUGACUCCAUGACGCAUGUUGUGGGGUGAAAGCCUUGUGCGGCUGAGGAUGGGCCCGCGGCCUAUCAGCUUGUUGGUGGGGUGAUGGCCUACCAAGGCGACGACGGGUAGCCGGCCUGAGAGGGCGACCGGCCACACUGGGACUGAGACACGGCCCAGACUCCUACGGGAGGCAGCAGUGGGGAAUAUUGGACAAUGGGCGAAAGCCUGAUCCAGCAAUGCCGCGUGUGUGAAGAAGGCCUGCGGGUUGUAAAGC